rnacentral:rRNA from 1 species
ACCAUGGUUUCUCGCCUGGUGUCCCACUGAAGCUAAGCAGGGUUGAGCCUGGCCAGUACCUGGAUGGGAGUCCUCCUGGGGAACUCUAAGGUUGCUGAUGGAA